AUUGAACGCUGGCGGCAUGCCUUACACAUGCAAGUCGAACGGCAGCGCGGGAGCAAUCCUGGCGGCGAGUGGCGAACGGGUGAGUAAUAUAUCGGAACGUGCCCAGUAGUGGGGGAUAGCCCGGCGAAAGCCGGAUUAAUACCGCAUACGACCUACGGGUGAAAGGGGGGAUCGCAAGACCUCUCGCUAUUGGAGCGGCCGAUAUCAGAUUAGGUAGUUGGUGGGGUAAAGGCCUACCAAGCCUGCGAUCUGUAGUUGGUCUGAGAGGACGACCAGCCACACUGGGACUGAGACACGGCCCAGACUCCUACGGGAGGCAGCAGUGGGGAAUUUUGGACAAUGGGGGCAACCCUGAUCCAGCAAUGCCGCGUGCAGGAAGAAGGCCUUCGGGUUGUAAACUGCUUUUGUCAGGGAAGAAAUCUUCUGGGCUAAUACCUCGGGAGGAUGACGGUACCUGAAGCAUAAGCACCGGCUAACUACGUGCCAGCAGCCGCAGUAACAC
rnacentral:rRNA from 1 species